CACGAAUAGCAUAUUUUUCCCUCAUGUCUAAAUUUCAUUAUGUUUCAGGAAACUGUGAAAAAUAUCCUGCUUCAAAAGGAUUCCAAUCCACGUUAUCUCACAAUGAAAAAAGAUAUAUUUUGCCAACAGGCUUUCAAUAAACAGAAUUAUAAAGAAAGGAGAGGGGGAGCUAGGUAAUACAACGGUCAGAAUUCCACAAACACCACUUAAAAAUAAUUCAGUAGUGUUUUUUGUCUCUGAAUAUGACAUAUGAGAAAAUGACGAUUAUACAAUAACAGAACAUAAAUAGUGAUUGCAUAUUUAUAGACUUAUCAAAUACAUCAAAGGAGUUAAAUAAAAAAUGGUUAAUAAAUAUUUUUUCAAUACAUGUAC
rnacentral:lncRNA from 1 species